UACGGGGGGGGCAAGCGUUGUUCGGAAUUACUGGGCGUAAAGGGCGCGUAGGCGGCCUUCUAAGUCAGACGUGAAACCCCUCGGCUCAACCGAGGAACUGCGUCUGAUACUGGAAGGCUUGAAUCCGGGAGAGGGAUGUGGAAUUCCAGGUGUAGCGGUGAAAUGCGUAGAUAUCUGGAGGAACACCGGUGGCGAAGGCGGGUCUCUGGGCCGGAUACUGACGCUGAGGAGCGAAAGCGUGGGGAGCGAAACAGGG
rnacentral:rRNA from 1 species